GACAUCCAGCGAACUUGGCAGAGAUGCCUUGGUGCCUUCGGAACGCUGAGACAGGUGCUGCAUGGCUGUCGUCAGCUCGUGUUGUGAAUGUUGGGUUAAGUCCCGCAACGAGCGCAACCCUUAUCCUUUGUUGCCAGCGAUUCGGUCGGGAACUCAAAGGAGACUGCCGGUGAUAAACCGGAGGAAGGUGGGGAUGACGUCAAGUCAUCAUGGCCCUUACGAGUAGGGCUACACACGUGCUACAAUGGCGCAUACAAAGAGAAGCGACCUCGCGAGAGCAAGCGGACCUCAUAAAGUGCGUCGUAGUCCGGAUCGGAGUCUGCAACUCGACUCCGUGAAGUCGGAAUCGCUAGUAAUCGUGGAUCAGAAUGCCACGGUGAAUACGUUCCCGGGCCUUGUACACACCGCCCGUCACACCAUGGGAGUGGGUUGCAAAAGAAGUAGGUAGCUUAACCUUCGGGAGGGCGCUUACCACUUUGUGAUUCAUGACUGGGGUGAAGUCGUAACAAGGUAAGCGUAGCGAG
rnacentral:rRNA from 1 species